UAUAAAUGCUGUUAUAACUUUAUUCUCUUCUUUGAUUUUUGAAUAGAAGUGCUCUAUGUAUUUGUAACUUGUGGUCUAAAAGGACAAGGAGCUCUGAAUCACACUGGGACCCUCUUUACUGGUAUUGCUAACACAGUUGGAUUCCUGUACUGUAAAGGUGGUAAAGAUGAAGGAGCUACAAAUGACUAGGCUUAAGGAACAGGAAGGUAAAAAGUUUAUUUGUGCUGCUUCCACCUCAGCAGUUUUGCAGUGUCAGAUAUGUGGUAUCAAAUCUCCAGAGGAAACACAAAGGUUAGUCCUGGAAAAGAUGACAUUCCUGAAGGAAAGAGAAAAUAAGCACAAGGUUUUCUGGGGUGCAGUAGGUUAAUUGGUGUCUCUGAAAAUUAGGCUGUAAGUGGGUAUUGUUUCAGUUAGAAAAUAGAUUGGGUUUAUGAGGCAGUUCUUUUUAUAUGAUUGAAUUAACUCUAAGCUUCUUUAUGAGCUAUUUAUAUUGAUGUCCAAAUCUUCUGCUAGCAAAAGGAAAAUACUUUCUGAGGAUGUAAUUAAUUUGUU
rnacentral:lncRNA from 1 species